rnacentral:rRNA from 1 species
GGGCCCGCACAAGCGGUGGAUCAUGUGGUUUAAUUCGAAGCAACGCGAAGAACCUUACCUGGGUUUGACAUCCUCUGACAUCCGUAGAGAUACGGCUUUCGUAGCAAUACGACAGAGAGACAGGUGCUGCAUGGCUGUCGUCAGCUCGUGUGGUGACAUGUUGGGUUAAGUCCCGCAACGAGCGCAACCCCUGUCCUUAGUUGCCAGCAUUCAGUUGGGCUCUCUAAGGAGACUGCCGUGGUGAACACGGAGGAAGGUGGGGAUGACGUCAAGUCCUCAUGGCCUUUAUAUCCAGGGCGACACACGUGAUACAAUGGACGGUACAGAGGGAAGCGAAACCGCGAGGUGGAGCCAAUCUCAAAAAGCCGUUCUCAGUUCGGAUUGGAGUCUGCAACUCGACUCCAUGAAGUUGGAAUCGCUAGUAAUCGCGGAUCAGCACGCCGCGGUGAAUACGUUCCCGGGCCUU